rnacentral:misc_RNA from 1 species
GAUGAAGAACGCAGCGAAAUGCGAUAAGUAGUGUGAAUUGCAGAAUUUAGUGAAUCAUCGAAUCUUUGAACGCACAUUGCGCCCGCCAGUAUUCUGGCGGGCAUGCCUGUUCGAGCGUCAUUUCAACCAUCAAGCCCCCGGCUUGUGUUGGGGACCUGCGGCUGCCGCAGGCCCUGAAAAGCAGUGGCGGGCUCGCUGUCACACCGAGCGUAGUAGCAUACAUCUCGCUCUGGGCGUGCUGCGGGUUCCGGCCGUUAAACCACCUUCAUAACCCAAGGUUGACCUCGGAUCAGGUAGGAAGACCCGCUGAACUUAAGCAUAUCAAUAAGCGGAGGA